rnacentral:tRNA from 1 species
CGCGGGGUGGAGCAGCCUGGUAGCUCGUCGGGCUCAUAACCCGAAGGUCGCAAGUUCAAAUAUUGCCCCCGCAACCA